CGGGAUGUAGCGCAGCCUGGUCAGCGCGCCUCGUUCGGGACGAGGAAGUCGGGGGUUCAAAUCCCCCCAUCCCGA
rnacentral:tRNA from 1 species